CCUACGGGUGGCUGCAGUCGAGGAUCUUCGGCAAUGAGCGCAAGCUUGACCGAGCGACGCCGCGUGUGGGAUGAAGGCCUUCGGGUUGUAAACCACUGUCGGGGGGGACGAAAUCGUAAGGGGUACUCUCCUUAUGUUGACCGAUCCCCGGAGGAAGGGUGGGCUAAGUUCGUGCCAGCAGCCGCGGUAAGACGUACCACCCAAACGUUAUUCGGAAUCACUGGGCUUACAGAGUCCGUAGGCGGCCAGGCAAGUUGGAUGUGAAAUACCUCAGCUCAACUGAGGAACAGCGUUCAAAACUGCCUGGCUAGAGAGAGACAGAGGUGAGCGGAACUGAUGGUGGAGCGGUGAAAUGUGUUGAUAUCAUCAGGAACACCGGUGGCGAAAGCGGCUCACUGGGUCUCUUCUGACGCUGAGGGACGAAAGCUAGGGUAGCGAACGGGAUUAGAUACCCUUGUAGUC
rnacentral:rRNA from 1 species